UACGGGGGGGGCAAGCGUUGUUCGGAAUUACUGGGCGUAAAGGGCUCGUAGGUGGCCAACUAAGUCAGACGUGAAAUCCCUCAGCUUAACUGGGGAACUGCGUCUGAUACUGGAUGGCUUGAGUUCGGGAGAGGGAUGCGGAAUUCCAGGUGUAGCGGUGAAAUGCGUAGAUAUCUGGAGGAACACCGGUGGCGAAGGCGGCAUCCUGGACCGACACUGACACUGAGAGACGAAAGCUAGGGGAGCGAAUGGG
rnacentral:rRNA from 1 species